GCACAAGCAGGGAACCACAUUUGAUCCCCCAGGAACAGCCUGGAAUCAGCAGCUGCCCCGUGCAGACUCCAGGGCUGCCACCCACGGAGGGACAGAGCCCAGAGCCACACAGGCUCAGCUUUGGAGGGAGAGCUGGCUUCACAGAGUAGCUGAAAGAAGGCAGAGAACAAACACCACCAGUUCCCCUCACUGUCAUCAACACUGAAGUACUUUGCUGAAGCAAAAUGUCAAGAAGCUGGGACUGGACAUUUAAAGACUUAAAAGUUACUGAAUUUUCUGCCCAGUUUGGUGUGGGAAAAGAUGCAGAAGAUAAUGCUGGUGUCUUACGCGUUCUCAAGAGCUCAAUAAGAGAUGGAAAACCUCCAGAAACACAAAUCCAAAAUGGU